UUGGAGGAUUUGAAGAUUUCAACUUGCAAGCUUGAAGAAUUUAAAGACUUCAACUUGCAUAAUUGGCUGAAUUUAAAGACUUCAAGA
rnacentral:pre_miRNA from 1 species